rnacentral:tRNA from 4 species
GCGGGAGUGGCGAAAUUGGCAGACGCACCAGACUUAGGAUCUGGCGCCGCAAGGCGUGGAGGUUCAAGUCCUCUCUUCCGCACCA